UUCUACAAAGUAAGGAAUUUUCGACAGCUCAGCUAAAAUGUCAUGAAAAAAUUGUUACAACCAAGUUUAUUUUCAUAACAUAUUGUUUACCAUACCUAUAUCUACCUAGUCUCUAAAAAUAAUUUAGAUACUAAUAUAUUAUCUUAGGAAAAAAAAUACUCAAAGCGUCAAAUUCCCAGGAUCCUGGAGUGUCCCACGAGCAAAAUUGAAUCUAAUGUGCAAUAUUAUUUAUUUUCUACUACAUUGAGCCCAUAAGUUAAACCAAUAUAAAUGACAUCCUAUUAUUAUUGUUACCUAGGUGACAUAUUACUAAUUUAUUGUAACAAAAACAUUAUAAAAACUUUGUCCAGAAGUUGUCCCAACAGUUUUAUAUCAGGAUCCUGCCCAAUGUUAAAUAAGCGAAUAUUCAAUAUUCUAUUAGCCGCGCGACCUUGACGUUUAGCCGAGUUCGUUGCCGGUACGAAAGAGACAAAGAAUACCACCUAUCGUUUUGCACCCAGUGUGUUGCUUAGUCUGCCCGGCACAUUUGAUGGAGGAAGUCGCGUCAUAAUCAGUCGAGCUCACAGAAUCCUGAGAUAAAAUGGCGAAACCAAAGAAAAAACAGACUAGAGAAGAAAUACUAGAAAAAAAAGAUAGCUGAAAAAUUGAGAUACGAAAAAAUUAAGAAUGAUCCUCAGAAACUAGCAGCAGAAAAAGAGAAAAGAAAGCAAAAAAAUAAGAAAUUCAGAGAAACUGGCAAAAAAAAAACUAGUAUCUGAAAUGACGGCUCGUGAAAAAAAGGAAGUCAAGAAUAGACUUAAUUAUCACGAUAGUUCAAGAUAUUUGGACAAUUACAAACUAAUGGUUAGAAGCAUAGUUUUUAUUUGUGAAUUUAUUAUUAAAUAAACGUUGAUUUUGA